GACGAACGCUGGCGGCGUGCCUAAUACAUGCAAGUCGAACGGUCUUUUCUAUGGAAGCUUGCUUCCACUGAGAAGAUAGUGGCGAACGGGUGAGUAACACGUGGGUAACCUGCCCAUAAGAGGGGGAUAACAUCCGGAAACGGGUGCUAAUACCGCAUAGUUUUCUUGAUCGCAUGAUCGAGAAAGGAAGGACGGCCUUUGUGCUGUCGCUUAUGUAUGGACCCGCGGCGUAUUAGUUAGUUGGUGAGGUAACGGCUCACCAAGACGAUGAUACGUAGCCGACCUGAGAGGGUGAUCGGCCACAUUGGGACUGAGACACGGCCCAAACUCCUACGGGAGGCAGCAGUAGGGAAUCUUCCGCAAUGGACGAAAGUCUGACGGAGCAACGCCGCGUGAGUGAAGAAGGUUUUCGGAUCGUAAAACUCUGUUGUCAGAGAAGAACAAGUCGGAGAGUAACUGCUCCGGCCUUGACGGUAUCUGACCAGAAAGCCACGGCUAACUACGUGCCAGCCGCCGCCGUAAUAC
rnacentral:rRNA from 1 species